GCUCUUUAUCUUUAAACUGAAACUGGAUUGGCGAGGAGUCCUUCAAAGAGCAGACUGCCCUCUGUAAGGUAAGAACUGCAAAAGGACGUUGUCGGCAGGUGACGACAGGCAUAAAUGAAGAUGAAUAGAGACUGGCUGACUGCAACAGUGACUGACAGCUUGAGUCAGCAGUGCAGCUGGCUUUUAAGAACAGAGGUAUGGAAGACAAGGCAGCUAACCCAUGAUGGCUACGUUUGGCCACAAUUGUUGGAGGCAGGAUGGUCUGAAAAUGAGCUCCUGGGAAUCACAAGGAGGGACAGUAGCCAGGGAGUGCUCCUGGGUCCACUUUCAU